AACAAGACAGAAGAUAGUCAAUCUCACGAUCGCGUAUACUUGAAGCGGGUAUGCCGCCUUGGCGUCUCUUUCUUCGGGAAAGACUAACCUCCCGUUUGCUAUGAGCACAAGGAGCUCAUUGCCGGUGCAAGCGCUGCAGCAAGCUUGAGUUUAGAGCUUGUAGUUCUGUCAGGUAGAGCGCGCGCAGUAUAAGCGUGAGGUUGGAGGUUCAAGUCCUCUCAGGUCCAGCGGUAACAGUGCAACGUGAAUCAGCGUCGAGAGCGGUCACUACGCUAGCGAGGCGUUCUGGGUUCGUAGCUCUGCGGGUAGAGCACCUCGUGAUCAACCAGGUUGUCGUGAGUGCGCUAUCGUCAGGGUUCAUCGACUCGCGAUCCGCAGGAUCGCGCUUAGGUGUUGAGUAGAGAUUGAGGGGAAAGUCAUUCGAAAAUGAGUUUGCGGCGAGCUUAGCGCUCCCCGCCUGUUCUGUUUGACAUCGUAAAGAGAAGAUUUGUUCGAACUUCAUGGUCCGCGAGGAUCGUGAUUUGUCGCAAGGGAUGCUCAAUCCCUUGCCUAUGAUGGGUAAGCCUAACCGCGCCCUCGAACCGAUCUCGAGAAGCUGGUCUUUUUGUG
rnacentral:tRNA from 1 species